rnacentral:lncRNA from 1 species
AAAAACAAAGGAGAUCAAAUUGAAACUAAUCAAAACGAAGAGGGACAUGUUGAAAAAUAGACCAUUCGACCCCAAAAUGCGCGGAUCCUACCCGGAUCGGGUCACCAUUCAGAUCGGGUCUUCGGGUUUGAACAAUACGACACCGUUUUGACGCUUUUUAAAAUUAAAAGACAGAAGAAAAAAAAACAAAAUAAACAAAACUUUAAAAACGAAAAGAAACAAAGUAAAAACCCUAGCCCCCUUUCAAUCAAAAUCGUGCCGCAAUGAAAACUCCG